GCACCUAUAGCUCAGCUGGUAGAGCAGAUCCCUCUUAAGGAUAAGGUCCCAGGUUCGAUCCCUGGUGGGUGCA
rnacentral:tRNA from 1 species